CCUACGGGUGGCAGCAGUGAGGAAUAUUGGUCAAUGGGCGGAAGCCUGAACCAGCCAAGUAGCGUGCGGGAUGAAGGCCCUACGGGUCGUAAACCGCUUUUGCACGGGGAUAACACCCUCCACUUGUGGAGGUCUGCAGGUACCGUGCGAAUAAGGGCCGGCUAAUACCGUGCCAGCAGCCGCGGUAAUACGGAGGACCCGAGCGUUAUCCGGAUUUAUUGGGCUUAACGGGAGCGUAGGCGGGCGUUCAAGUCAGCUGUAAAAUCGCGCGGCAAAACCGCGCCCGGCAGUUGAAACUGGACGCCUUGAGUUCACGACAGGCAGGCGGAAGUCGUGGUGUAGCGGUGAAAUGCAUAGAUAUCACGAGGAACCCCGAUUGCGAAGGCAGCCUGCCGGGGUGCGACUGACGCGGAGGCGCGAAGGUGCGGGUAUCAAACAGGAUUAGAUACCCCAGUAGUC
rnacentral:rRNA from 1 species